rnacentral:rRNA from 1 species
AUGAACGCUGGCGGCGUGCCUAAUACAUGCCAGUCGCGCGAACAGACGAGGAGCUUGCUCCUCUGACGUUAGCGGCGGACGGGUGAGUAACACGUGGAUAACCUACCUAUAAGACUGGGAUAACUUCGGGAAACCGGAGCUAAUACCGGAUAAUAUAUUGAACCGCAUGGUUCAAUAGUGAAAGACGGUUUUGCUGUCACUUAUAGAUGGAUCCGCGCCGCAUUAGCUGGUUGGUAAGGUAACGGCUUACCAAGGCGACGAUGCGUAGCCGACCUGAGAGGGUGAUCGGCCACACUGGAACUGAGACACGGUCCAGACUCCUACGGGAGGCAGCAGUAGGGAAUCUUCCGCAAUGGGCGAAAGCCUGACGGAGCAACGCCGCGUGAGUGAUGAAGGUCUUCGGAUCGUAAAACUCUGUUAUUAGGGAAGAACAAAUGUGUAAGUAACUAUGCACGUCUUGACGGUACCUAAUCAGAAAGCCACGGCUAACUACGUG